rnacentral:rRNA from 1 species
UACGGAGGGGGCUAGCGUUGUUCGGAAUUACUGGGCGUAAAGCGCACGUAGGCGGACUGGAAAGUUAGGGGUGAAAUCCCGGGGCUCAACCGCGGAACUGCCUUUGAAACUCCCGGUCUUGAGGUCGAGAGAGGGGAGUGGAAUUCCGAGUGUAGAGGUGAAAUUCGUAGAUAUUCGGAGGAACACCAGUGGCGAAGGCGGCUCACUGGCUCGAUACUGACGCUGAGGUGCGAAAGCGUGGGGAGCAAACAGG